rnacentral:rRNA from 1 species
CCAAGUUAGUAAGAGCUAUUGGUGGAUGCCUUGGCAUUGAAAGGCGAUGAAGGAUGCGUUUACCUGCAUUAAUCUUCGGCGAGCUGGUAUAAAGCUAUGACCCGGAGGUUUCCGAAUGGGAAAACCCGAUAGAUUAAUAGUCUAUCAUUAUACGCUGAAUCCAUAGGCGUAUAAGGCGAAACCUACUGAACUGAAACAUCUUAGUAAGUAGAGGAAAAGAAAUCAAAGAGAUUCCCUGUGUAGCGGCGAGCGAAAGGGGAACAGUCUAAACCAUAUUUUUAAUAUGGGGUUGUAGGGUCGAUAACGUGAGAUCUUAAGUUUUAGUUGAAUAUUUCUGGAAAGUUGAACGAUACAGGGUGAUAGUCCCGUAAACGAAAAAACAAAAGACUCUAUUCGAUUCCUGAGUAGAACUAGACACGUGAAACCUAGUUUGAAUCUGGGGAGACCACUCUCCAAGACUAAAUACUAAUCAAUGACCUAUAGUGAACCAGUACUGUAAAGGAAAGGUGAAAAGAACCCUUGUUAAGGGAGUGAAAUAGAACCUGAAACCAGUAGCUUAUAAGCGGUCGAAGACCUAUAACUCUUCGGAGUGAUGGUUGACGGCGUGCCUUUUGCAUGAUGAGCCAGGGAGUUAAGUUAAACGGCGAGGUUAAGGGAUUUACAUUCCGGAGCCGAAGCGAAAGCGAGUUUUAAAAGAGCGUUUAGUCGUUUGAUUUAGACACGAAACCAAGUGAUCUAUUUAUGACCAGGUUGAAGCAUUGGUAAGACUUUGUGGAGGACCGAACUAGUACCUGUUGAAAAAGGUUUGGAUGAGUUGUGAAUAGGGGUGAAAGGCCAAUCAAACUUGGAGAUAUCUUGUUCUCUCCGAAAUAACUAUAGGGUUAGCCUCGAAUAUUAAGCUUUUGGGGGUAGAGCACUGAAUUCUAGCGGGGGCCUACCGGCUUACCAACGGAAAUCAAACUCCGAAUACCAAAAGUGAGUUCGGGAGAUAGACAGCGGGGGCUAAGCUUCGUUGUCGAGAGGGGAACAGCCCAGACCGCCGAUUAAGGUCCCUAAUUUUAUGCUAAGUGAGUAAGGAAGUGAUGAUUCUAAGACAGUUGGAAUGUUGGCUUAGAGGCAGCAAUCAUUUAAAGAGUGCGUAACAGCUCACCAAUCGAGAAUCAUCGCGCCAAUAAUAUCCGGGGCUUAAGCAUAAAACCGACAUCGCGGGUGCAUAUGUUUAAUAUGCGCGGUAGGAGAGCGUAGUAUUCAGCUGUGAAGGCAUACCGAAAGGAGUGCUGGAGCGGAUACUAGUGAAGAUCCAUGGCAUAAGUAACGUUAAAGGAAGUGAAAAUCUUCCUCGCCGUAAGCCCAAGGUUUCCAGGGUCAAGCUCGUCUUCCCUGGGUUAGUCGGCCCCUAAGUCGAGGCACGAAUGCGUAGACGAUGGAGUAACAGGUUAAAUAUUCCUGUACCACCUAAAACUUUAGCAAUGGAAUGACGGAGUAAGUUAAGCACGCGGACGAUUGGACAUGUCCGUAUCACAAUGAGAUCGGUUGGUAGGCAAAUCCGCUAACAUAAGGUCAGGUUGUGGUUAAGGGAAAUCUUCGGAGGAACUGAUAGUGUGGCGCGAGGCUUUCAAGAAAUAUAAGGCGCGCGAGAUAACUUUCGUUAAGGAACUCGGCAAAUUAUCCCCGUAACUUCGGAAUAAGGGGAGCCUUUUGGGGUGAUUGCUUUUUCAGCAUGAGCCCUGAGAGGCCGCAGAGAAAUGGCCCAGGCGACUGUUUAACAAAAACACAGCACUAUGCAAACCUUUAAGGGGAAGUAUAUGGUGUGACGCCUGCCCAAUGCCAAAAGGUUAAAGGAAUAUGUCAGUCGAAAGACAAAGCAUUGAACCCAAGCCCUGGUGAAUGGCCGCCGUAACUAUAACGGUGCUAAGGUAGCGAAAUUCCUUGUCGGGUAAAUUCCGACCUGCACGAAUGGUGUAACGAUCUGGGCACUGUCUCAACGAAAGACUCGGUGAAAUUGUAGUAGCAGUGAAGAUGCUGUUUACCCGCAAAAGGACGAAAAGACCCCGUGAACCUUUACUGUACUUUGGUAUUGAUUUUUGAUUUGUUAUGUGUAGCAUAGCCAGGAGACUGAGAACAUUCUUCGUCAGGAGAGUGGGAGUCACCGUUGAAAUACUGGUCUUAACAAAUUGAGAAUCUAACAUCACUCCAUGAAUCUGGAGGAUGGACAUUGCCAGACGGGCAGUUUUACUGGGGCGGUAUCCUCCUAAAAAGUAACGGAGGAGCCCAAAGCUUAUUUCAUCGUGGUUGGCAAUCACGAGUAGAGCGUAAAGGUAUAAAAUAGGUUGACUGCAAGACCUACAAGUCAAGCAGAGACGAAAGUCGGGCUUAGUGAUCCGGCGGUGGAAAGUGGAAUCGCCGUCGCUUAACGGAUAAAAGGUACUCCGGGGAUAACAGGCUGAUCGCCACCAAGAGUUCAUAUCGACGUGGCGGUUUGGCACCUCGAUGUCGGCUCAUCGCAUCCUGGGGCUGGAGAAGGUCCCAAGGGUUUGGCUGUUCGCCAAUUAAAGCGGUACGCGAGCUGGGUUCAAAACGUCGUGAGACAGUUUGGUCUCUAUCCUUUGUGGGCGCAGGAUACUUGAAAGGAGCUGUUCCUAGUACGAGAGGACCGGAAUGGACGAACCUAUGGUGUGUCGGUUGUUUUGCCAAAAGCAUAGCCGAGUAGCUACGUUCGGAAAGGAUAAGCAUUGAAAGCAUCUAAAUGCCAAGCCUCCCUUAAGAUAAAGUAUCCCUAUGAGACUCCAUGUAGACUACGUGGUUGAUAGGUUGGAUGUGUACGCACAGUAAUGUGUUUAGCUUACCAAUACUAAUAAGUCCAUUGACUUGGUUUU